UACAGAGGGUGCAAGCGUUGUUCGGAAUUAUUGGGCGUAAAGGGCGCGUAGGCGGCUAGAUGUGUCAAAGGUGAAAUCCCUCGGCUCAACUGAGGAACUGCCUUUGAAACUGUCUGGCUUGAGGCCGGGAGAGGGUAGCGGAAUUCCCAGUGUAGCGGUGAAAUGCGUAGAUAUUGGGAGGAACACCAGUGGCGAAGGCGGCUACCUGGACCGGUUCUGACGCUGAGGCGCGAAAGCGUGGGUAGCAAACAGG
rnacentral:rRNA from 1 species